rnacentral:lncRNA from 1 species
UGAAGAGAAAAUUUGAUAAAAAUAAUUGGUCAGUUGUAAAAAUGGUUAACUACCCAACUGGUAAGAGAGAUUUCUAAGAGUUACAGAAUAGCAACUGCAGGAAGGAACUUGUGCCCUUAGGACUGAGGAAGUAAAAAGGAAGGAAACUUGGAAACACGGAAGAGCCCUUCCCCUUUCAAUUCAAGGUGGAGACUGGACCUCAGAAGAGGGAGUGGGUGCCCCGAGAACUCACAGCUAGUGGACAGCGGAAAGGGCAGGAGCCGGACCAAGGUGAGGACAGCGGAACUGAAGGCCGCUGGUUACCUCUCCUGCCCUCUGCUGGCCACAGUGGAGAAGACAGCCCCUCCCUCCUGCUCUGACCUGACAGUGUUCAUCCAUCGCCCUGUAUUAGCGAAGAACAACAUCAAGCUGGCUAGCAAGGAACUGUAUACAGGGUCCAGCUGGGUAUCACACUGGAUCUCACCCAAAGCUGAGAUGUGAUCCAGCUCCGUAUCACAAAGCAGAACGAAAAGGAUGUGUUUGGGCUGAGAGGCCAUACAUUGGCUCCGGCACGACGGGUGGCUUCUGCAGCACACAGGGCUUCGCCAGCACCCAGCUCCUGCAGCAUGGGCAGCUCCUGUGACAGCAGGCGCCCACAGCCUGCAAAGCGUCUCCAGUGCCGCCGCCUCAGUGAACCGCAACCAGCGGCACCUAGCAGCUUUCUCCGCCACCCUCUUCAGGUCUGGAUCUAAGCCCAGGGACCAGGAAACCUCUUGCUUGAGUGCUGGAACUCAGGCCAGAAGGCAGGAAGCCCGCCUGACCCCACGUCUCAGGCUGCCAGAGGAGCGUGCGAUGAGGAAGGCUGGACUGUCUUCACAGGACACCAGAGAGAAGCCUCAAGCCACUGCCCCCUGACAAGUCUCAGCUCUCCAGCCUGUCUCCUCACUCCCCUCCCCUCCACAUGGGGGGGUUGGGGUGGGGGCGGGGAAGGUUCGGGGCAGGGGUCAUUUCAGCUACUGGGCACCAGUCUCCUCCUCAUGUUUAUCCUGUUCCCUUUGCUUGAAAGGUUCGUACUCCAGAUCCUUGUAAAACCGCUUCUCACCCUUUGAGUCUCAGCUUAAAUGUCCCCUCCUUGGAGGGGUCUUCCCUGACAAUGAAGCUCCGACCGUCCUCUCCUGUUUUACCCAGUUCAUUUCUUUCUGGCAUUUGUAACUACUUGAAGUUAAAGUGUGUGCCAUGUAUGUGUCUGUCAGUUUCCCCCACCACACUGGAACCCCAUGAGGGCAAGGGUCUUGUCUGGAAUCUUCCUCACUUACAACUCAACAUUUAGCAAAGGACCUUUGCUAAAUUAACAGGCAUUCAUUUUGUAUUUGAAAAAUGAACGAGUGAGGCCGGGCGUGGUGGCUCACACCUGCAAUCCCGGCACUUUGGGAGACCGAGGCGGGCUUGAGGUCAGGAGUUCGAGACCGGCCUGGCCAACAUGGUGAAACCCCAUUAAAAAUACAAAAAUUGGCUGGGCGUGGUGGCUCACGCCUGUAAUCCCAACACUUUGGGAGGCUGAAGCGGGC